UGUUGUUCUAAAAAUGUGCUUUUGCUGCCUGGACAGAUCAGGGGGGGAUCUCCAAUACAGUCCGGAAAAAGCUAUAAAAAUCAUAGUGGCAUGUUGCUGUCUACAUAACAUGGCACAGGAGCAUAGGAUGUUAAAUGAUUUUAUUCCACCACCACAGCCCCCAGGUGAAAUCUUUGAGCCUGAUAUAAUUAAUCAUCCCCAACCACUAAAUGCCCAUUUGGAGAGAUCUGCAACUAUUCGAGAUUUCUUUUCAGAUUGAAGAUUCUCAGAAAUGGAAUACCCCUCCCCUCCCUCUCUCCUCAUCCCCAUAUUUACCACAUUUUCCCUAAAUAAAUGUGUACUUUACUCAAAUAUA